CCCAUUCUCGUGCCCCAUUGGGGAAAUUCAAUUUGGCGGCCACGCCCCUAGGCAGGCCCCGCCCUACGCGGGCCAGGUAGGGGAUUGUAGUCUGGGGGCCACUGCAUCCCCCACUUUGGCUGGUUGGGCAGGCGUGGGCAGGAGGACUCAGCUUCGCACCAAAGUAGUGGAGGGCGCCCAAAGCCGGGGAUGGGGGAAAUCCUGGAAGACUUCUCGAAGGAGGUCUCGUGGAGCUGACAGUCUGGAUGGGGAGACAGACUCGGCAGACAGAGCACCAUAUAAAGUUAUCAUCACGAUUUGGAGAGCAAAAGCAGGGGAGGAGAAGAGGGAGAGGGAGAAGCUGACUCCCUGCUGAGCAGAGAGCGCGAAGCAGACUCAAAUCCAGGACCCUGGGAUCAUGACCUGAGCCUAAGGCAGAGGCUUAACCAACUGAACCACCCAGUCUCCAGCCUGGGUCUAGAUUCCCCCAGGGUAGCUGCUCCCUUGUGAAGUCAGUCCUCCAGUGAAGGGGUUCUGCCCUAAGCCCCCACUGGGCCUGUGGAAUUUUGGACCUUGAAGAAAGAAUGCCCUACUUUCCACCAAGAAGCAAUCAGGAUUCUGGAAUGGGACCAAUCAGACUUCCUUGUGAUCAGCCUGUUGGUAAGAAGUACACACUUCCUGCAUUCAAAGUGUGGUCGGUGGACCAGUAGCUUUGGCAUCUCUUAGGCACUUGUUGGAAAUGCAGAGUCUCAGGCCUCCCCCCAGUGUUACUGAACCAGAAUCUGUAUUUCAAGAAGAUUUUCAGGGAGAUUCAUGUGCACAUUACAGUUUGGAUUUUUGGCCACAAGAAUCAACUGGGUGUUGAGAAGGA